rnacentral:lncRNA from 1 species
UAAAUCAAUUUGAACCCAGUUCUCCUGACUUGUAUCUGAGUUCUUUUUCUGUUACAACAUGUUUGACAUUUCAUAAUAGGUGCUCAGUAAAUAUUUAUGCAAUGAAUGAAUCCUCAUUGUGAUUGUCUUUGUUACCAGGCAAUGCAGCUUAGUCAACAGAGCAUAUUUUAGAAUCUAAAAUUUAGAUCAGCACGUCAGUUCUAAAACACAGUGAUUCUUUGACUCCUGUCUUCAGUGACCCAUGAACAGACCAGACUGGCCAAAAAGGAAGGAAGUGAUUCAUCAGGUCAUUUGGACAAGGACUUCAUUUCCCAAUAUGAUGAGUCUUUCAGCACUUGCCCACAGCGAUAGGAGCUUGGAGGGAAUCAGACUCAGAACAUCUGUCCCGCUGGUUUCAUCUUGCGUGUAAAUGAGCUACGAUAGCAACAAUUUCUGUCAUCUUUGUCACUGAUCUGGAAUGAAAGUUACCAGAGAGCCUCUUGAGAAAUGUGGUAGAGAUAAUUGUGAACCCUGCAAAAAUUUACUAAGUGUGUGUACUUUUGGGCCUCACAUCUGGAUUAAAAUCUUGCCUUUGCCACAUACUGACCAUGCGAACUUGGGCACGUUACUGAACCUUUCUGGGACUCAGUUCCUUCAUCUGUUAAAAUGAGGUAAUAAUAGUACUUACUUCAUAGUGUUGAUAAGUAGAUUUUUAAAAAUGAUAUAUGUAAAGUGUUUUAAACAGUGCCUGUUCCAUAGUAAACACUGUACAACUGUUAUCUCUAAUCAUAUUAUUGUUG